ACACAGGAGUUUCUUUGGGUGUAUGGC
rnacentral:piRNA from 1 species